rnacentral:rRNA from 1 species
AUUGAACGCUGGCGGCAGGCUUAACACAUGCAAGUCGAGCGGGGGGAGGUAGCUUGCUACCGGACCUAGCGGCGGACGGGUGAGUAAUGCUUAGGAAUCUGCCUAUUAGUGGGGGACAACAUCCCGAAAGGGAUGCUAAUACCGCAUACGUCCUACGGGAGAAAGCAGGGGAUCUUCGGACCUUGCGCUAAUAGAUGAGCCCAAGUCGGAUUAGCUAGUUGGUGGGGUAAAGGCCUACCAAGGCGACGAUCUGUAGCGGGUCUGAGAGGAUGAUCCGCCACACUGGGACGGGAACACGGCCCAGACUCCUACGGGAGGCAGCAGUGGGGAAUAUUGGACAAUGGGGGGAACCCUGAUCCAGCCAUGCCGCGUGUGUGAAGAAGGCCUUAUGGUUGUAAAGCACUUUAAGCGAGGAGGAGGCUACUUUAGUUAAUACCUAGAGAUAGUGGACGUUACUCGCAGAAUAAGCACCGGCUAACUCUGUGCCAGCCGCCGCGGUAA